UAAGGAAUAUUGGGCAAUGGACGCAAGUCUGACCCAGCCAUGCCGCGUGCAGGAAGACGGCCUUAUGGGUUGUAAACUGCUUUUGUCAGGGAAUAAACCCUUGUUUGCGAACAAGGCUGAAGGUACCUGAAGAAUAAGCAUCGGCUAACUCCGUGCCAGCAGCCGCGGUAAUACGGAGGAUGCAAGCGUUAUCCGGAUUCAUUGGGUUUAAAGGGUGCGCAGGCGGACUAUUAAGUCAGAGGUGAAAUGC
rnacentral:rRNA from 1 species